AGUGAACGCUGGCGGUAGGCCUAACACAUGCAAGUCGAACGGCAGCACAGUAAGAGCUUGCUCUUACGGGUGGCGAGUGGCGGACGGGUGAGGAAUACAUCGGAAUCUACUUUUUCGUGGGGGAUAACGUAGGGAAACUUACGCUAAUACCGCAUACGACCUACGGGUGAAAGCAGGGGAUCUUCGGACCUGGCGCGAAUGAAUGAGCCGAUGUCGGAUUAGCUAGUUGGCGGGGUAAAGGCCCACCAAGGCGACGAUCCGUAGCUGGUCUGAGAGGAUGAUCGGCCACACUGGAACUGGGACACGGUCCAGGCUCCUACGGGAGGCAGCAGUCGGGAAUAUUGGACAAUGGGCGCAAGCCUGGUCCAGCCAUACCGCGUGGGUGAAGAAGGCGUUCGGGGUGUAAAGACCUUUUGUUGGGAAAGAAAAGCAGCAGGUUAAUACCCCGCUGUUCUGACGGUACCCAAAGAAUAAGCACCGGCUAACUUCGUG
rnacentral:rRNA from 1 species